GUGCUAACUGGCUACACGAUGCUUAUCAGCAGGCUUGUCUGGUCUUGAGUGCUCUAAAACUUUCAUCGGGUAUCCUACGAGAAGGAGGAUGGUUCGUAACCAAGGUCUUCAGGUCCAAAGAUUAUAACCCUCUGAUCUGGGUCUUACAACAGUUUUUUAAGAAGGUGCGGUAUUUCUAAAUUCUUCCUUGCAAUGAAAAAUGUUUCCGUAUAGUGCCUAAUACAAUUAUGUAAAUGUGUCUCCCCAAAAUCAGGGUGUCUACUGGUCCGAAAAGUCUACAAAUAGUUCUGAUUUUUCAGAAGCUGUCUGGAAGUACUGAUGAAGUAUGGAAAUUUAGCAAAUAGGUUGUGGACCGCGCGUGUUUUUUUAAGACAGCUUGGAAAGUAUGCAAUCCUUUGCGCAUUGAUUCUUAGUGCAGUAUUUGCUUGUUUGAUUGUGUUUGUGCAGCUUGUGUAUCUUCAAACCACCAAUGAGCUUCGCAUUUAAUGGCUACGUCAUUUUUGUCGCAAUUUGCAAACGUCACAUAAAGGUACUGAAAAAGUACUGACUGUUUUGAGCAAGAAGGUCUAAAUACUUUGAGAAAGAACUAAAAAAAUUUCUCCAGCUAGUUUUAGUUGACACCCAGAAGAUCUUUUCCCAAUACAUAUUCUUUGAUGUUGGUUAUUCGGCACAAUCCCUCAUUUUUUCUCUUUUUUUCCUGUUGCAUCAGUCGAUAUUUGCACUAUUUUUGUUGUAGGUUCAUGCACCAAACCGCAAGCCUCCCGUCUUGAAUCGGCUGAGAUUUUCGUCGUUUGUCAGCACUACCUCGCUCCCACUAAAAUCGACCCAAAACUUUUCGAUCCACGCCAUGUAUUUCAAGAGUUAGACCUGGAACCCAAAGUCAAACUUUUUGACACGCAGAAGCCAAAAGCGGAGGGAUACUCAGAGACUUACAGUGUGUAUGGUACCAGAGUUCCAGUCUCAGAAUUUUUGAAGAAUGAAUCUCCGAUGGUCCUGUUCCAGCAUGCAGCUGAGAUCACAUUUGAUCCAGAGACAGAAGGACAUCUGCUAAAUCAUCCUCUAACAACGGACGAAAUCAAGGAAUGUUGCAAAGACAUUAAAGUUCUUGGUCGCAAGGAUAUUCGUAACCUGGUCAGUUGGAGAAAACAUCUAGUUGCAGCUCUUCUGAAAGAGAAAGAAGAAGAAGACAAGAAAAAUAUUGUCCCUGUGGAGACUAAACCAGAAAUAAAAGCCGUUUCUGACAGCGAAGAUGAUCUGGAUGAAGAUGAGAAGGAUUUGGAAACUGCCUCUAAGGAAAUUGAAGCAAUGCAGGUAAUUUAUCAAAGAGCAAGAAGUUUAGUUUUCAUCUUGACCGAAGUAGACCAAAGGAUUUUAGAAGAAAGAAGUGAACUCAUGUAAACAAUAAAUGCUUUUUUUCCACUAAUAGUCAGGGUUUGGAAAGUGUUAGUACGCCCAUCAUACUCAACGUAAAAUUUUGAUAAGGAGCACAUAUUGUUGUGCUAAAUUUUUCACUCCGUUUAGUUGUCAAUUAAUUAUGAUAAAUCACCAAUGAAUGGUGUCUCCAAAUAGCUUUAA
rnacentral:lncRNA from 1 species